GGUCAACAACAUUGCUUGCUCCAAAUUGUUGCCUCCAAAAAAUAAAAACACAAUCUUAUUUUUGAGUGCAUAAUUACCAUGUCAUAUGGUGCUUUGGAUAAGGUCUAUUUUAUAAGUGAGAUAGAAAAAGCGAAAUGCAGAUGAGCAGACACGUAAGCAGAAGUUGAAACAAUGCGAAAGUGAAGAUGAAUAAACAAUUGCAGGGAAAAACACUCAUGCAUGUGGCCACAGCGAUAGUUUUGCACAAGUACGUUCAUUUCGCAACAGAUCAUGCACAUAGUCACACCCAUUUACAUAAAUCCAUUCAAGUUUUGUAUAUUCAGUGGCACCAUGCGCAUGAUGCUAUGCUACAUAUACACACACACCUCCCAAAUACAAACAUUCAUCGAUCACCAACAACACAAUGUCUCAGCUCGACCUCAGCGGCUUCCGCAAGAGGAAGAGAGGCGAAAAGGUGUUCAAAUUCAAAGUAUUCGGCGCGCGAGGCUACCCGGCCGGCUCCAACGGCUCCUUCCACGACAACGUCAGAGCCCUCCUCGAGUUCGGCCAGCUCGAGACCAACACCAUGUCCAGCUGGUCCUUCCAGCUCGAGGCACGCCGCCACCCGCUGCUGCUGUUUGUGGUCGAAGAGCCCGCCCUCGACUUCUCCUGCCGCCACUGCCGCUACAUAGGUACACACACGCUUGCUCAUCUGUUAUAUAUAUCUCUAACAAGACUAAUGUUUCUUCGUUAUUACAAUCUUACAUAGCUCAGGUUGGGGGCAUCACAUGAUCUGCAAUAAGAGCUAUCAUUUCGUGCUGCCGUCUGACGAUUACGCCAAACCAACGCCAUCGACUUGCAUAGAGACACCCACAUCCUGCAUGCUGUCCUCCACUCCAAUGGAUUCGGUCAUCUCCUCUGCAUCAACGCCUCCGCCCUGCCCGGCUACCAGAUCAUGGACUUCUGGGACCGCUUGUGCUCCGGUUUAGGAGCUAGGUCUGUAUGUAUACUAUCAUACAUAAUUCAUUAACCCCAAACUUGAGUUGGUUAUGCAUAUAUAUAGUUGAUAUACUUUUGCAGGGAGGUGAGCUUGAGAGAUUCAGCUAAGAAGAAAGGAAUGGAGCUGAGACUGCUCCACGGCGUGGCCUACGGCAGGCCGUGGUUCGGUCAAUGGGACUACAUAUUCAAGCGCGG
rnacentral:lncRNA from 1 species